AGGGAAGAACAAUCCGUUUCGAAUAGGGGGUACCUUGCGUACUAACCAGAAAGCCACGGGUAAUACGUGCCAGCAGCGCGCGGUAUUACGUAGGUGGCAAGGUUUCGGAUUAUUGGGCGUAAGGGCUCGCAGGCGGUUUUUAAGUCUGAUGUGAAAGCCCCCUGCUCAACCGGGGAGGGUCAUUGGAAACUGGGGAACUUGAGUGCAGAAGAGGAGAGUGGAAUUCCACGUGUAGCGGUGAAAUGCGUAGAGAUGUGGAGGAACACCGUGGCGAGGCGACUCUCUGGUCUGUACUGACGCUGAGGAGCGAAAGCGUGGGGAGCGAACAGGAUUAGAUACCCUGGUAGUCCACGCCGUAAACGAUGAGUGCUAAGUGUUAGGGGGUUUCCGCCCCUUAGUGCUGCAGCUAACGCAUUAAGCACUCCGCCUGGGGAGUACGGUCGCAAGACUGAAACUCAAAGGAAUUGACGGGGGCCCGCACAAGCGGUGGAGCAUGUGUUUAAUUCGAAGCAACGCGAAGAACCUUACCAGGUCUUGACAUCCUCUGACAAUCCUAGAGAUAGGACGUCCCCUUCGGGGGCAGAGUGACAGGUGGUGCAUGGUUGUCGUCAGCUCGUG
rnacentral:rRNA from 1 species